ACCUGGGUGGCUCAGUCAGUUAAGCAUCUGACUUCAACUCAGUUCAUGAUCUUGCGGUCUGUGGGUUCGAGCCCCACAUCGGGCU
rnacentral:tRNA from 1 species